rnacentral:rRNA from 1 species
GUGCAGCAGCCGCGGUAAUACCGGCAGCCCGAGUGAUGGCCGGUCUUAUUGGGCCUAAAGCGUCCGUAGCUGGCCGCACAAGUCCGUCGGGGAAUCCGCCCGCUCAACGGGCGGCCGUCCGGCGGAACCUGUGUGGCUUGGGACCGGGAGGCCUGAGGGGUACGAUCGGGGUAGGAGUGAAAUCCUGUAAUCCCGCUCGGACCGCCGAUGGGGAAACCACCUCAGGAGAACGGAUCCGACAGUGAGGGACGAAAGCCAGGGUCUCCAACCGGAUUAGAAACUCCAGUAGUCC